UCAAUUUCAGUUGUAUACAAAACUUCCUUCGAUCGUCUUCUAUACUCUGGGAGUGCUUAGGAUUUCCUUAGCGAUCGGAAGAAUCUUAAGGAGUCGAAAUAGGAGAGAGCUUUUAGCGAGUGUUCGUUCCUUUUUACGAAUUAUCCGCUUCAAAUAACGAAACUGGAACCCAUUGCUUAUAGAGUGCGUUGUUCCUUGUCAAUCGCCUACCGGUCGUGGGUUGGUACCAGAUAUUAGGUUUCUAGUAUCCGCUCUCUAGUCUCUGUGAAGACAGACUGACCUGUUCGUAUUGCAAUGAAUUCACUGGUCAGGGGCGGUUCUUCGAAUGAAGCUUGGUGAGGAGUAGGUAAUCGAAAUUUACGUACGCUUCCGUCAUUGAACCUAACAAUGGUUUGAUAGUCUUUUUCAAAUAAUGGCGCCAGCAAUCGACCCUACAACCUUGUGUCGAGAAGGGUUCGUCCCCAUGGACAAAAAUCAAAGAGGUAAAUGAUUAGUACUGAGAAAGCGACGGUGGAACAGAUUUAGAUGCGGAUGUAUGCACGGAUGAUGAUCACGGCACGAUACCCGCCGGUGUAACUUUUCAAUGAGAACACAAUCGAUUUAGUGAACCCGUGUUCAAUUUCUGCCGGUCAACACGCUUUUCGGUACCCGUACCUCUAGUAACAACUGUUCGUAGAGACGCUUCAUUGGCCGUACCUCGUAUUUUGGGCAAAUACGGAACGAGGUUUUUUCAUUUCGAUUUAUACAUCCGAGUCAAAGUCUGCAAACGUACAGGGUUUUUGUCAAGCCAUUGGUCCGCUGUGACCAAAAGGCCGUGUUCGACAAUACCUGCAAGGUCGCAACGGAAGCUUCUCGUAUAUAGGAAUCGACAAAUCGGGCCGUUACGGCCAACGGUACGCGGAGGAUGCGGGGCAAAGGCAGGCGCAAAGGGGUUCAGGAAGACUGCUGGAGUUUUCCAUCCUCGCGUUCAUCUUUAUUGUCGCUAUAAGGAAACAUCUGUACUCGAUAAGCGAUUUGUCAAUAUAUCCUAAGGAAAAAGACACGUGGGCCAUAGCGGAAAGUUGGUACGUUGGGCUGCGCAAAUCAUAGCUCGGCCGAACGGCAACGGGUCGUAAAAAGCUUUAGAGGGCACGAGCGAUAUCGACGAUCCAAGGAGUUGCGCAAGCGAAAAGCAUGGUAGAGGUGCUUUUACACAGAUGGGAAACGCGUUAUAAGCAAUUUAACAUGAAUGAGUAACAAUAUAAUAUCAGCUAUGGAUGGGAAUAAUAUUGUUUCAUUAGAUAUCUUUCUUUCACACAAAUCUGAUUUGUUUAUUGAGUGGCUUCCAAUAUGUGUGUGAAUGAUGGCUGUUCUUGUUUACUAAUUCUCAUGUAGACUUUUUUGUUUGCUGGCAGUGAAAUAUUGUAUCCAUUUGAUUACCAGCAAACGAACUCCUUUAUCGGUCUCCAGAUACGAAUAUGGCAAUCGACAAUAGUACCCACCAUAGCUGAGGGUACUACCCAAUAGCACCUCUCUCGGAGUGCCUUCGGCAUUUUUAAUAUGAAAAAUAAAUCUCCCUCGACUCCCUGAGCUUGUCGACAACAAAUCCGAGCAACUAUCCGAGUAGAUUAUCGUGUAAUAAAGCUUACUUAGGAAUUUCGUAUAUUCGUACGUAUUAUCCUAGACCAUUUUCGCAGCUCUUUGACAACCUGAUGAAUACAUACGUCCUUAUAAAUGGUUUCCGCGCAAAAAAGCCUAUUUCCCCUCUAGUUAAAAUUGAAGAAGUCGACUUCUUUGUGUGUGGACAGGACUACACUGUAACUAUCAGUGGACUCUUCGGGGCUAACUCUGGUUGCAUUUAGUUACGUUUUUUUUGCACGAAAAAGCCUGUUCUUUUAUGUAAAAAACUUUUUAGCUAGUAAAUUUCUGGAGUGCAUUGGUCGAGGCAAUCGACGACAAUCGACUCAGCCAUGGCGAUUCUAUGCAUACUGAAUAAAUCAAUCCUUUAGGACGAUUACAUCGUUCUGAGCAAAUUAGGAAGAGUAGCGAUUUCACCUCCAUCGGUAGCUGAUAUAGACGUUUUCUGGAAUAGGAAUCAAACUGUCUGCCAUAGUUGUCCUGUCAGUACCGACUCUGGAAUAGCAAUCCAACCAGCGACGUACAAACUAGAAGUCUAUCUAUCGGUACAACUUCUUCGUUGGACGAUUCUGCGUGACUAUUGGCUCAACACAUAGGGCUUUCACAUUAAUCAAGAGGAAGACGACUUUCUAACGUAAACGUAGAACCUUUUAGUUGAAGUUCAACUUUUGUACGUAGUAGUAAAAAGUAUUUUUGUAGUAA